rnacentral:rRNA from 1 species
UACGGGGCAAAGGAGGGGACCUUCGGCCCUUUCGCGAUUGGAUGAACCCAGGUGGGAUUAGCUAGUUGGUGGGGUAAUGGCUCACCAAGGCGACGAUCCCUAGCUGGUCUGAGAGGAUGAUCAGCCACACUGGAACUGAGACACGGUCCAGACUCCUACGGGAGGCAGCAGUGGGGAAUAUUGCACAAUGGGGGAAACCCUGAUGCAGCCAUGCCGCGUGUGUGAAGAAGGCCUUCGGGUUGUAAAGCACUUUCAGCGAGGAGGAAAGGUUGUUGGCUAAUAUCCAGCAACUGUGACGUU